GUUUAACCGGUCCCACAGGAGGAAGUGAGGCACGGCCGGUGACACAGGCAGGGAACAAACUUCACGCCGUCCCAGCCGAAGGGAUGGGUGGGUGCCAGCGCCCGACCCUGGGUAGAGCUCGGCUGGGCUGCGCAGCCGGGACGUGAGGGGGCUGCUCUUCCAGGUGUUCAACCACCCAGGUGAGCUGGUGGCACCAGUUUUCCCGUUGUAAUGACACGUGGGAGCGCGAAGAUCCUGGCACCGGUUUGGUUUUCCCCCUGUCACGACAAGGCAGCCUCAGCCUGAGGGAAGAGCAGAAGCUGCAGGAGCCACCACAGCUCUUGGAUGUCAACACCCCGUGGAGGUGAACAGCUCAACACCCCCAAAUGCAAAUGGAGACAAAGAUCCCUGGGAUUGCACAGCUGGGCUGGUCCUGCCAGCUGGGACAAAGCUGGCACCAGGCACAGAGCUGGAA